CUAAUACAUGAAAGCUCGAACGAACUCUGGUAUUGAUUGGUGCUUGCAUCAUGAUUUACAUUUGAGUGAGUGGCGAACUGGUGAGUAACACGUGGGAAACCUGCCCAGAAGCGGGGGAUAACACCUGGAAACAGAUGCUAAUACCGCAUAACAACUUGGACCGCAUGGUCCGAGUUUGAAAGAUGGCUUCGGCUAUCACUUUUGGAUGGUCCCGCGGCGUAUUAGCUAGAUGGUGGGGUAACGGCUCACCAUGGCAAUGAUACGUAGCCGACCUGAGAGGGUAAUCGGCCACAUUGGGACUGAGACACGGCCCAAACUCCUACGGGAGGCAGCAGUAGGGAAUCUUCCACAAUGGACGAAAGUCUGAUGGAGCAACGCCGCGUGAGUGAAGAAGGGUUUCGGCUCGUAAAACUCUGUUGUUAAAGAAGAACAUAUCUGAGAGUAACUGUUCAGGUAUUGACGGUAUUUAACCAGAAAGCCACGGCUAACUACGUGCCAGCAGCCGCGGUAAUACGUAGGUGGCAAGCGUUGUCCGGAUUUAUUGGGCGUAAAAGCGAGCGCAGGCGGUUUUUUAAU
rnacentral:rRNA from 2 species